UCCAAUUCUUCUUGCUCUUGUAAAAAAGGCCAAACAAAUAAGUGGGCGAUUCUGCACUUCACUUGGGGGAAAACCUUAUAUGUGUGAAAUAUGUGAGAAAUCAUUUUUUGAAAAAACUUACUUAAACAUCCAUGUGCAUAAUCUUAUGUGUGGGGAGUAUGUAAGAAGUUAUUUAAUCGAAAAGCUGAUUUAAACAUGUACAUGCGUAUUCACACAGGAAAGAAACCUUAUGUGUAUGAGGUAUGUAAGAAAUCAUUUAUUCAAAAAGCUCAUUUAAACAUGCAUAUGUGUAUUCACACAAGAGAGAGCCUUCAUAUAUGUGAAGUAUGUAAGAAUAUGCUUAGUGAAAAGGGUACUUUUUCAUUUUUCCAGCGCAGGCGAUAAAGCCACCAAAAAUGGUACAACUGAUGCCAAACUUAAUAUCCUCGCUGGUAACUUUUCAAGCUAAAACAUAGAAAAGGCAAAGUCAAGGGUUAAACUCAUCAAGUCUAUCAAAAGCUAUCAAAGUAAAGCACUGCAAUUUUAAAUAAUAUCUGAGUAAGUUAUUCGUGCGAAUUGAAAUAAUUCUUGCAUUAACUUGUAUUGCAUAUAUAGAUUUAACCUGAAAUUAAUGUAGAUAAUUAUUGACAGAAUUAGAUUCUUGUAGUGUAGUUUAUGUGAGAUGAGAUCACUUAGGGUCACGUGAUAUGAACCAGCGAAUCAGGAUGUUGUACCAUGAAAGCAUAGUAAAUUUUUAAAAUAAUGUCUUUUUAAAGUUAUUGUCUUUAUUUAUUACCAUUUUACAAAAUGUUCAACGAUAUUAAAAUGUUUCUGUCUUCAAAAUAAAAAAAUUCUUAGAAUUAACAUUUGUUAACAUGUUUUACGUGUAUAAUGUAUUGUUGCCAAUAAAGUCUGCUUGGGGUGAUCUGCGCCAGCGAAACAGAAAAGUACCGUGAAAAGCAUAGUUUUAAGAAGCAUAUGCAUAUUCACUCAGGAGAGAAAUCUUGUACGAAUGAAAUCCGUAUAAUCAAAAAAGUCAUUUAAGUAUACAUAUGAAUAUUCACACAGAGAAACCUUAUAUGUGCGAAGUAUAUAACAUGUUUACUCAAAUGGGUAGUUUAGCAAUCAUAUGUUUAUUCACACUGACGAGAAAAUUUGUGUGUGUUGUACAAAAAUAUUCUUUCAUUUUUAUAAAGAGUAUAUGGAUAUCAACAUCAGAGAUAAAUGUUACGUGUUAGGAGUUAACAGGUCACUUAGGGCAAUGAAGAAGUUGAAGAAACAUAUCUCUUACCUGUACAGAAGAGAAACCUGCUGUGUUUUGAACAUAUGUUAGAAGCAACUUCUCUGUGCAACUUGAAAACCUCAGUAUUUGAGGUCAAGUCUGGAUUUUUCUCCCAGUUAACAGAAUUUAAAUACAGCAAAAUUGUUAGAAUUUAGAGUGGCAAAUCUGAAUAGUAUAAAGCCUACUGGUGACCCUGUGAGAGAAGCAUGAUUUCUCAUUUCAUGAAAAUAAAUUAUGAGCCAUUUAUUUGUUUCCUCAAGAUGAAAUAUUUUUCAAGAUAUUUUUACAUGAUAAUAAGUGUUUAGUGUUUAUAUCUGCUGUAUAAUGAAGUGUGAAUAAGAACUUCGAAAACUGAAAUUCUAAAAGGUGGCUAAAUGUUUUAUCUAAUACACAAGCUGUAAAUUAUAUGUGUUUUGUGUUAAACUUAACUGUUUCUGAAUUUCAUGUAGUAUGAAUUACAACUGUGCCAUUACAGAUAGAAUUGUUAUUCUUGGUGCAUCUCAUGAAUAAUCUAUGAGGUAUUUCCCCUCAUCGUAACAAAGUACUGAAGUAUAAUAUCUAUCCAGCUGCAGUAUCAAAUGUGUCAGUGUAUAACAUUCCCAAAAUUAGUGCAGUGUUCCACAGUAGUGUUAGGCGAAAUGAAAUUUCAGACAUUUUCAGUCAAAUCUUGGUCAUACCAAGUUGAACAAUCCCAGGUGCAUAUAAGAAAAAAUUUGGGAAACAUGAUUUCUCUGCAGUUUGCAAAAGAAAUGGCAUUAUGAUGAUUAGUAUAAAGAAGUGUUGU
rnacentral:lncRNA from 1 species